CGCCCGUCACACCAUGGGAGCUGGUAAUGCCCGAAGUCGGUUUUGUUAACUACGGAAAUAACCGCCUAAGGCAGGACUGGUGACUGGGGUGAAGUCGUAACAAGGUAUCCCUACGAGAACGUGGGGAUGGAUUACCUCCUUUCUACGGAGUACAUUACCUAUCUAAUAGGAUACUUAAAGACUAUUUUUAUUAAAAUAAUUAAUAAUUGUUACAAUGACACAUGUACUAUGUUAAUAGUCCAUAGAUAUAUCUAGUUUUGAGAGAACUUUCUCUCUUGUUCUUCGAAAACUGAAUAGUAAAGAUAUUACAACGACAUCAAAUAAAUAAAUUAAAUUGGUUAAUUUGUUUUGAUUGAUACCGAGUAAUUAUUACAAUGUAAUAAUUUAUUGAAAUGUCUUUGAAUAUACAUCAACAAUAGGUCGAAUAUUGUCAACUUUUAAAUAAGUAAGAGUUUGUGGUGGAUACCUUGGGUCUGGAAGUCGAUGAAGGACGUGAUUACCUGCGAUAAGCCUCGUGGAGCUGGAUAUAAGCUACGAAGCGGGGAUUUCCGAAUGGGGAAACCUAACUAGAGUAAUUUCUAGUUGCUAUACGAUGAAUAAAAUAGUCGUAUUUGCGAGACACGUUGUGAACUGAAACAUCUUAGUAGCAACAGGAAGAGAAAAUAAAAAAUGAUUCCAUUAGUAGCGGCGAGCGAAAGUGGAAGAGCCCAAACCAACAUUAGUUGGGGUUGUAGGACUAUCUACAUAAAGUUACAAAUCUUUGUUAUAGCAGAAUUAGUUGGGAAACUAAAGCAUAGAGGGUGAUACUCCCGUAUGCGAAAUGGCAAGGACUUCUGAUAGUAUCCUGAGUAGGGCGGGGCACGUGAAACCCUGUCUGAAUCUGCCGGGACCAUCCGGUAAGGCUAAAUACUAACCAGACACCGAUAGUGAACUA
rnacentral:sRNA from 2 species